AGAGUUUUGAUCCUGGCUCAGGACGAACGCUGGCGGCGUGCUUAACACAUGCAAGUCGAACGCUGAAGCUCCCAGCUUGCUGGGGGUGGAUGAGUGGCGAACGGGUGAGUAACACGUGAGUAACCUGCCCCGAACUCUGGGAUAAGCGCUGGAAACGGCGUCUAAUACUGGAUAUGUCCUAUCACCGCAUGGUGUGUAGGUGGAAAGAAUUUUGGUUCGGGAUGGACUCGCGGCCUAUCAGCUAGAUGGUGAGGUAAUGGCUCACCAUGGCGACGACGGGUAGCCGGCCUGAGAGGGUGACCGGCCACACUGGGACUGAGACACGGCCCAGACUCCUACGGGAGGCAGCAGUGGGGAAUAUUGCACAAUGGGCGCAAGCCUGAUGCAGCAACGCCGCGUGAGGGAUGACGGCCUUCGGGUUGUAAACCUCUUUUAGUAGGGAAGAAGCGCAAGUGACGGUACCUGCAGAAAAAGCACCGGCUAACUACGUGCCAGCAGCCGCGGUAAUACGUAGGGUGCAAGCGUUGUCCGGAAUUAUUGGGCGUAAAGAGCUCGUAGGCGGCUUGUCGCGUCUGCUGUGAAAACUGGAGGCUCAACCUCCAGCCUGCAGUGGGUACGGGCAAGCUAGAGUGCGGUAGGGGAGAUUGGAAUUCCUGGUGUAGCGGUGGAAUGCGCAGAUAUCAGGAGGAACACCGAUGGCGAAGGCAGAUCUCUGGGCCGUAACUGACGCUGAGGAGCGAAAGCAUGGGGAGCGAACAGGAUUAGAUACCCUGGUAGUCCAUGCCGUAAACGUUGGGAAGCUAGAUGUAGGGCCUGUUCCACGGGUUUCUGUGUUCGUAGCUAACGCAUUAAAGUCCCCC
rnacentral:rRNA from 1 species